rnacentral:rRNA from 1 species
CCUACGGGGGGCAGCAGUAGGGAAUCUUCCGCAAUGGGCGCAAGCCUGACGGAGCAACGCCGCGUGAGUGAUGAAGGUUUUCGGAUCGUAAAGCUCUGUUGCCAGGGAAGAACGUCCGGUAGAGUAACUGCUACCGGAGUGACGGUACCUGAGAAGAAAGCCCCGGCUAACUACGUGCCAGCAGCCGCGGUAAUACGUAGGGGGCAAGCGUUGUCCGGAAUUAUUGGGCGUAAAGCGCGCGCAGGCGGUCAUUUAAGUCUGGUGUUUAAACCUUGGGCUCAACCUGGGGUCGCACUGGAAACUGGGUGACUUGAGUACAGAAGAGGAAAGUGGAAUUCCACGUGUAGCGGUGAAAUGCGUAGAUAUGUGGAGGAACACCAGUGGCGAAGGCGACUUUCUGGGCUGUAACUGACGCUGAGGCGCGAAAGCGUGGGGAGCAAACAGGAUUAGAUACCCGGGUAGUC